rnacentral:rRNA from 2 species
CAGACCGGAAGGACUGGUGGAGCGCUUAGAAGUGAGAAUGCCGGUAUGAGUAGCGAAAGACGGGUGAGAAUCCCGUCCACCGAAUGCCUAAGGUUUCCUGAGGAAGGCUCGUCCGCUCAGGGUUAGUCGGGACCUAAGCCGAGGCCGAAAGGCGUAGGCGAUGGACAACAGGUUGAUAUUCCUGUACCACCUCCUCACCAUUUGAGCAAUGGGGGGACGCAGGAGGAUAGGGUAAGCGCGGUAUUGGAUAUCCGCGUCCAAGCAGUUAGGCUGGGAAAUAGGCAAAUCCGUUUCCCGUAAAGGCUGAGCUGUGAUGGCGAGCGAAAUUUAGUAGCGAAGUUCCUGAUUCCACACUGCCAAGAAAAGCCUCUAGCGAGGUGAGAGGUGCCCGUACCGCAAACCGACACAGGUAGGCGAGGAGAGAAUCCUAAGGUGAUCGAGAGAACUCUCGUUAAGGAACUCGGCAAAAUGACCCCGUAACUUCGGGAGAAGGGGUGCUUCUUAGGGUGUUAAAGCCCCGAGAAGCCGCAGUGAAUAGGCCCAGGCGACUGUUUAGCAAAAACACAGGUCUCUGCGAAGCCGUAAGGCGAAGUAUAGGGGCUGACGCCUGCCCGGUGCUGGAAGGUUAAGAGGAGCGCUUAGCGUAAGCGAAGGUGCGAAUUGAAGCCCCAGUAAACGGCGGCCGUAACUAUAACGGUCCUAAGGUAGCGAAAUUCCUUGUCGGGUAAGUUCCGACCCGCACGAAAGGCGCAACGAUCUGGGCACUGUCUCAACGAGAGACUCGGUGAAAUUAUAGUACCUGUGAAGAUGCAGGUUACCCGCGACAGGACGGAAAGACCCCGUGGAGCUUUACUGCAGCCUGAUAUUGAAUGUUGGUACAGCUUGUACAGGAUAGGUAGGAGCCUUGGAAACCGGAGCGCUAGCUUCGGUGGAGGCAUCGGUGGGAUACUACCCUGGCUGUAUUGACCUUCUAACCCGCUGCCCUUAUCGGGCAGGGAGACAGUGUCAGGUGGGCAGUUUGACUGGGGCGGUCGCCUCCUAAAAUGUAACGGAGGCGCCCAAAGGUUCCCUCAGAAUGGUUGGAAAUCAUUCGCAGAGUGUAAAGGCACAAGGGAGCUUGACUGCGAGACCUACAAGUCGAGCAGGGACGAAAGUCGGGCUUAGUGAUCCGGUGGUUCCGCAUGGAAGGGCCAUCGCUCAACGGAUAAAAGCUACCCCGGGGAUAACAGGCUUAUCUCCCCCAAGAGUCCACAUCGACGGGGAGGUUUGGCACCUCGAUGUCGGCUCAUCGCAUCCUGGGGCUGUAGUCGGUCCCAAGGGUUGGGCUGUUCGCCCAUUAAAGCGGUACGCGAGCUGGGUUCAGAACGUCGUGAGACAGUUCGGUCCCUAUCCGUCGCGGGCGCAGGAAAUUUGAGAGGAGCUGUCCUUAGUACGAGAGGACCGGGAUGGACGCACCGCUGGUGUACCAGUUGUUCUGCCAAGGGCAUCGCUGGGUAGCUAUGUGCGGACGGGAUAAGUGCUGAAAGCAUCUAAGCAUGAAGCCCCCCUCAAGAUGAGAUUUCCCAUUCCGCAAGGAAGUAAGAUCCCUGAAAGAUGAUCAGGUUGAUAGGUCUGAGGUGGAAGCGUGGUGACACGUGGAGCUGACAGAUACUAAUAGAUCGAGGACUUAACCUAUA